rnacentral:rRNA from 1 species
AUCAACUUUCGAUGGUAGGAUAGAGGCCUACCAUGGUGGUAACGGGUAACGGGGUGUUAGGGCACGACACCGGAGAGGGAGCCUGAGAAACGGCUACCACAUCCAAGGAUGGCAGCAGGCGCGCAAAUUACCCAAUCCCGACACGGGGAGGUAGUGACAAUAAAUAACAAUACGGGGUUCUUUCGGAUUUCGUAAUUGGAAUGAGUACAAUUUAAAUCUCUUAACGAGGAACAAUUGGAGGGCAAGUCUGGUGCCAGCAGCCGCGGUAAUUCCAGCUCCAAUAGCGUAUAUUAAAGUUGUUGCAGUUAAAAAGCUCGUAGUUGAAUUUCGGGAUCAAUACGUCGGUCGUGCCUCUGGUAUGUACUGGUGUUAUUGAUUUCUCCCUUCUGAUGAACCAUGAUGUCAUUAAUUUGGUGUUGUGUGGAGUCAGGACUGUUACUUUGAAAAAAUUAGAGUGUUUAAAGCAGGCUCACGCUUGAAUACAUUAGCAUGGAAUAAUGAAAUAGGACGUUCGAUCCUAUUUUGUUGGUUUCUAGGAUCAACGUAAUGAUUAAUAGGGAUAGUUGGGGGCAUUAGUAUUCAAUUGUCAGAGGUGAAAUUCUUGGAUUUAUUGAAGACUAACUACUGCGAAAGCAUUUGCCAAGGAUGUUUUCAUUAAUCAAGAACGAAAGUUAGGGGAUCGAAGACGAUCAGAUACCGUCGUAGUCUUAACCAUAAACUAUGCCGACUAGGGAUCGGAUGAUGUUAAUUUUUUAAUGACUCAUUCGGCGCCUUACGGGAAACCAAAGUGUUUGGGUUC